AGGGUUAGGGUUCCUUAUUUAAAGUGUUAAAAUGACCAUGGGUAAGGGUUAGGGUUCCUUAUUUAAAGCAUU